CUGAAUUUGUUUAACUUGUGGCCACAAGGGCAUAUCUUCCUAGUGAAUCCCAAAACAAUGGCUGGAAGGCUGGGAAGAAGGUUUUCAGCGAGGGCUUGAUGGGAGAAAAAGGGAAAAAAGGCUGGACUUCGCUGCGGCUCAUAGUCUCCAGGCAGGAUUCUUGAAGCACACAGGUUGUAACACUCCUACAGCUACCUCGAGGACUUCCUUUAAUGUUUCACCACCAGAGCUUCGCUCUGCUUCCACAAGAGGCUAUGCCAUGCUUCAAAACACUGCAACAGAAAGAAGAGGGGAAAAAAAAAAGAUUUCUAGACAAUCCAGUCUGUAUGAAAUACCUAGGGCAAUUCCUGGCACCAAAGAGGUGUUGAGUGUAAGUUAAAUGGAUUUUUUUAUGUGAUUAUUGAAAAUGUCUUCUACGCCUUCUUCACAAAUACUCACUAUCCCCAAACAAACUACGUUUGUCAACACCAAGGUCG